AUUGAACGCUGGCGGCAUGCCUUACACAUGCAAGUCGAACGGCAGCGGACCUUCGGGUGCCGGCGAGUGGCGAACGGGUGAGUAAUAUAUCGGAACGUACCUUUCAGUGGGGGAUAACGUAGCGAAAGUUACGCUAAUACCGCAUAUUCUGUGAGCAGGAAAGCAGGGGAUCGCAAGACCUUGCGCUGAUUGAGCGGCCGAUAUCAGAUUAGCUAGUUGGUGAGGUAAAGGCUCACCAAGGCGACGAUCUGUAGCGGGUCUGAGAGGAUGAUCCGUCACACUGGAACUGAGACACGGUCCAGACUCCUACGGGAGGCAGCAGUGGGGAAUUUUGGACAAUGGGCGCAAGCCUGAUCCAGCCAUGCCGCGUGAGUGAAGAAGGCCUCGGUUGU
rnacentral:rRNA from 1 species